rnacentral:rRNA from 1 species
UACGGAGAGGGCUAGUGUUAUUCGCAUUGACUGGGUGUAAAGGGUGCGUAGGUGGUUUAUUAAGUUUUAAGGAAAAGCUUAAGUUUAAAACUUAAUUACCUUUUAAUACUAAUAGACUAGAGUUUAAGAGAAGAUAGCUGAACAUUAAGUGUAAAGGUGAAAUUUUUCAAUAUUUAAAGGGCAUUCGUUAGGCGAAGGCUGCUAUCUAUCUUAAUACUGACACUGAGGCACAAAAGCAUAGGGAUCAAACAGG